rnacentral:rRNA from 1 species
UACGUAGGGGGCUAGCGUUGUCCGGAUUUAUUGGGCGUAAAGAGCGUGUAGGCGGCCAGGUAGGUCUGCUGUGAAAACUCGAGGCUUAACCUCGAGAUGUCGGCGGAAACCAUCUGGCUAGAGUCCGGAAGAGGAGAGUGGAAUUCCUGGUGUAGCGGUGAAAUGCGCAGAUAUCGGGAAGAACACCCGUGGCGAAGGCGGCUCUCUGGGACGGUACUGACGCUGAGACGCGAAAGCGUGGGGAGCGAACAGG